AAGUCGUAACAAGGUCUCCGUUGGUGAACCAGCGGAGGGAUCAUUACCGAGUUUACAACUCCCAAACCCACAUGUGAACAUACCAUUUUGUUGCUUCGGCGGACCCGUCCCAGCGUCCGGGCGACCUUGCGUCGUCCCGCGGCCUGGAACCAGACGGCCGCCGGGGAAAACCAAAACUCUUUGUAUCUAUCUAUUCUUCUGAAUACGCCGCAAGGCAAAACACAAAUGAAUCAAAACUUUCAACAACGGAUCUCUUGGUUCUG
rnacentral:misc_RNA from 1 species